rnacentral:rRNA from 1 species
CCUACGGGAGGCAGCAGUGAGGAAUAUUGGUCAAUGGGCGCGAGCCUGAACCAGCCAAGUAGCGUGAAGGAUGACUGCCCUACGGGUUGUAAACUUCUUUUAUAAAAGAAUAAACUGAGGCACGCGUGCCUUUUUGUAAGUACUUUAUGAAUAAGGAUCGGCUAACUCCGUGCCAGCAGCCGCGGUAAUACGGAGGAUCCAAGCGUUAUCCGGAUUUAUUGGGUUUAAAGGGUGCGUAGAUGGGUGGUUAAGUCAGUUGUGAAAUUUUGAGGCUCAACCUUAAAAUUGCAAUUGAUACUGGCAGGCUUGAGUACAGUUGAGGUAGGCGGAAUGCGUGGUGUAGCGGUGAAAUGCUUAGAUAUCACGAAGAACACCGAUUGCGAAGGCAGCUUACUAAGCUGCCACUGACAUUGAUGCUCGAAAGUGUGGGUAUCAAACAGGAUUAGAUACCCUGGUAGUC